GACGAACGCUGGCGGCGUGCCUAAUACAUGCAAGUCGAGCGAAUGGAAGGGAGCUUGCUCCCUGAAGUUAGCGGCGGACGGGUGAGUAACACGUGGGCAACCUGCCUGUAAGACUGGGAUAACUUCGGGAAACCGGAGCUAAUACCGGAUACGUUCUUUCCUCGCAUGAGGAAAGAUGGAAAGAUGGUUUCGGCUAUCACUUACAGAUGGGCCCGCGGCGCAUUAGCUAGUUGGUGGGGCAACGGCCCACCAAGGCGACGAUGCGUAGCCGACCUGAGAGGGUGAUCGGCCACACUGGGACUGAGACACGGCCCAGACUCCUACGGGAGGCAGCAGUAGGGAAUCUUCCGCAAUGGACGAAAGUCCGACGGAGCAACGCCGCGUGAGCGAAGAAGGCCUUCGGGUCGUAAAGCUCUGUUGUCAGGGAAGAACAAGUGCCAGAGUAACUGCUGGCACCUUGACGGUACCUGACCAGAAAGCCACGGCUAACUACGUGCCAGCAGCCGCAGUAA
rnacentral:rRNA from 1 species